CUAGCACUUUGGUAGGGUCUCCCCUGGGCAGUAGGAUUAGGAUUUGGUAUAUGGAGCGGAGAGAAAAUCCUUGAUUGUAUCCUUGUCCUGGUAGUAUAGCAGUAGCAGCUGUCCCUCAGUGGACAGAU
rnacentral:snoRNA from 1 species